CGCCGGCUGAAGUCCCCCGCUCUCCCCCGCGCCCCGCGCCCCCGCCUGGCCGGCAUCGCGGUCCCUCCCCAGCCCCGGAGCCCCCGGGGUCCGGAAACUCGCGGGGGCUGGGCCGGCGGCCCCGGGCGUCCAACUGACAGCCGGGGUCUCCCUCCAGGACCGCCGCCUCCGAGCCUGCGCGGCCAUGUGGAUGGGGCCCGAGGGGGCGUCAGGAAGGAGGGUAGAGGGACAGGGCGUCUUUUCUUUUCUGUUUUCACUGUUGAGCACCUUUCUGCCAGGUAGGAGCGUGAGGACUAGAGAAGAAGAGAUGGCCGGUCCACUGCCCUCCGCACUACAGCUCCGUAUCUGGGGUGACACCCCCCUCCUCCUCCACACACUGAGACGAUGCAAAUUCUCAUUCCUGGUGCACUGUUGUGGCCAGAUGAAGAACUACUCUUUGGUUAACAAGGGGACGCCGGUGAAGGUGCCCAGGCCUCUGUCCUCGCCCCCGCCCAUCGGCCGCACCCCAAUAAAAAAAAGACACGGCUUGUUGCCGGCGCCUGGCUCAGUACGGCCCACAGCUGUGUUCAGGGUGGCUGGCUCUGAACUGAUCUAAGCGGACUCUAUCGGCUGCUUGUCUUCUGCUCAACAACAGAGCUACACCAACCUCAACUUCGUUUUCCAGAACCUACGACUUUAGCCCCACGCCCUGCCCCGCCUUAGCAGACACGCAGAGAUUGCCUGCUCUCCGCAUUGGAACACGGGGUACAAAACAGAGAACACCCUGCCCUAUAGUGUAGUCAGGCGGUAGUCACGGUGGAAAGCUGAAAUUCUUAUCCAGAUUGGGUAUGUUUGUAACUUCUCCCCUGAACUGACCAUACUUCAGGGACCCUUCUUUACCUAAGCUGCGCAGCACUUGCUGUGUGGUUUAGGGGAGAGGCAGAGUGGGGUGCACAGGCCUCCCGGCAUCCCCUCCGGGGUGGAAAAGUGCCUGUCCUGCCCAUCUUCCAGCAUAAGAACAUCUCCCUCAUUUCACACACCACCAUUUCAUGGAGGAAAACACAAAACCACGCGGGUCUCCCUGCCCAGUCUCCAGCGCCCCUUCCACUACACCUGUCUCUGCACAGUGACAACGUGCCGGCUAAUGGGACUUCUUUCCCCGAAGCCUCAAGGAAACUGGGUUUAGGAGGGGACGGUGGAGAGAGGUGUUUGCUAGCUUUUCUUUCUACAACCCAGAGCUCUGACUCUGAAGGUGAACGUUUUCAGACAAGUAAAAGCAAAUAUAGCCAGCAGGAAAGGGGCUUGUCACUCCUCCUGGACUCCUGGCUCAUGGUGGGGGGGGGAACGUGGUGGGGACCCCUGGGCUGGGCCAGGGGGGUGAAUCCCACCCCUGCUGUAUCCCAGACCUACGACCUCGCAGCAGGUGCUAGAGACCUACCUGGGGUCGUGGCCCAUGCCUUGUUGGCUUUUCUGAUCCUUUCUCUGUCAUGUUAGCAGAGAAUUAGGGCCAUUGGGCCUUUUCUGUCUCUGUUUACAUGACAGCCAAUGCCUCCACUUUAACAUAGGAAGAGAGAGAAAGAGGGAAAAGUACAAAGCUGAGGGAGUGAGAUAGAAUGAGAAAGAGAGAGAAGGCGGGAGGGGUGGGGAGGGGAGUUAGAAAGAAUAUUAAGAGGUUGGAGCAGGUGCAGAGGAAAACCAUGUGCCAGCCCUUGUGGGCAGAGAUGGGAAAUAGCAGAAGACAUAUACGGUGUGUCAGGGAGGGCAGCCUAGGCUGGACCUGCAUAGCAAACUCUAUAAGCUGCUUCAUUCUAAAGAAACAUUGUUUUCAUCUCCAUGGUUUGCUGGGUUCCUGUUUUGCUGGCCCUCCCGCCUCUUGCCACGUUCUGUCUCCAGUCCCGCAUUGCACCCUCUGGCCCAGUCCCCGAGGGGGCCUCUCUCUCCUCACCCUGCUGGGAGGCGGGGGCAGAAGAGGGGCUGCAGGUGCACGCAAGGUGGAGGGAGGGAGAGGGGGCCCGCCAGAAGAUGGAAAGAUGAGGUCAAUGAGGGAUGCUUGCAGGAAAAGAAAAAUGCAAGUAAAUAUUCACAACCUAAAUUAGGAAGUAGUAAGUGUUGCAGAUUAUUCCUGUUUUCCUCAAUUAGCACAGAAUAGAGAGUGGCAGGAAAGUUCUAGGAAAACAAUCUCCACAAAUGAAGAAAGAGAAAAUAACAUCUGGCGAUGAGAUGACCUCCAAAGCUGAAGAUCAGGGCAGAAGUCUCAGAGACAGACACAGGAAAACUCCUGGAGGCCUCCUCCCACACAUAAAUAAAAGCCUUCCCCUGA